UUUUUUGUAUCAAGUUAAGAAUUCAAAACAACCCCACAUAAAAAGUUUUCAACUUUCUUCAAUUUAAGCCAAGAAAACGAAGGAUUUAGAGAAAAAAUCAUAAGAAUACGCACACCAACAACUUGACGACAACCAUCAUUGUGUAUAUCAAUUCGGAUUUUUAAGUUGGAAGACCACGUUUGAGAGCACGAGCAGUCGUGGGAUAAUGGAGAUUGUUUUGGCUUUCACGAUUUUGAUUA
rnacentral:lncRNA from 1 species